GGACUACAGGGGUUUCUAAUCCUGUUUGCUCCCCACGCUUUCGCACCUGAGCGUCAGUCUUUGUCCAGGGGGCCGCCUUCGCCACCGGUAUUCCUCCAGAUCUCUACGCAUUUCACCGCUACACCUGGAAUUCUACCCCCCUCUACAAGACUCUAGCCUGCCAGUUUCGAAUGCAGUUCCCAGGUUGAGCCCGGGGAUUUCACAUCCGACUUGACAGACCGCCUGCGUGCGCUUUACGCCCAGUAAUUCCGAUUAACGCUUGCACCCUCCGUAUUACCGCGGCUGCUGGCACGGAGUUAGCCGGUGCUUCUUCUGCGGGUAACGUCAAUCGACAAGGUUAUUAACCUUAUCGCCUUCCUCCCCGCUGAAAGUACUUUACAACCCGAAGGCCUUCUUCAUA
rnacentral:misc_RNA from 1 species